UGGCCCCUCCGUCGUCUCCGCGCUGCAGCCUCCGUCUUCUCCUGAUGGCCACCAGCUCGCCGCCGCCGCCACCGCCGAAAAGACCCCAAGCCCCGGUCUCCGGCACCACCAUACGCUCCCUCGGCGACGACCUCCUCCUUGAGAUCUUCCUCCGCCUGCCCUCCCUCCCGAGCCUCGUUCGCGCCGCGCUCACCUGCCGCUCCUUCCUCGCCGCCGUCCGCUCCGCCCCCGCCUUCCGCCGCCGCUUCGCCGCGCUCCGCCCGCCCCCUCUCCUGGGCCUCUUCUUCGACUACGAUGGCGUCGAUAUGCCCUCGUUCAGGCCCGUCCGCCGCAGCUCGGACCCGGACCUCGCCGCCGCCGCCCGCGGCGCCGACGUCUUCCUCACCCGCGUCCCCGGCCACGACGACGCCUCCCCCGGGUGGCAGAUAGCGGAGUGCCGCGGCGGCUCCCUCCUACUCCUUAACCAGAGUACCGAGCAGAUGGCUGUCUACAACCCCCUCUCGCGGGCCCUGGAUCUCUUCCCUACGCCGCCAGACGAGUUGUCCGACGGUUGCCGCGGCAAGUGCAUCUACAUGGAUCCCUUCUUGCUCUCCCCCGACGGGAUCCCCGGACCAUUCCGCGUGGUCGCCGUCUGCCACGACAAGUCGCGGCUGCGCGCCGCUGUCUUCUCGUCAGGCACCAGGGCGUGGCAGAUUCUCCCCUGGUCCCAGCCCGCGCCGGCACAGCCGUCAGGCAAGAAGUACUGGCUCCUCCAUGGCAGGCAGGUGAAUGGGAAACUGUACUGGUCACACGCGAAGCGGGCCUACAUGGUGGUGCUGGACACGACGACGCUGCAAUUCUCCUUCAUUGAUCUGCCAGAGCACUUGAAGGGGAAGGGGCACCUCUACAUGGCCGGGGAAACCAAGGAUGGGAGACCCUGUAUCGUCUCCACAGCCGAUUUCACAUUGUCCAUUUGGUUCCGGAGAGCAGAUGCUGAUGGUGUUGAGAUGUGGAUGCUUGACAGUGUGAUCCUGUUGGAGGAAGAGGUUCUUCGGGCUACCAAUGGCUCACUGGAUGAUCAUGGUGACCUUAAAGUAUUAGCAAUUCUGGAUGGCAUUGUCUACCUGUCAACCUUUGAGACAUUUAUAGAUGCUACUAUACCUUGCUGGUACCUAUUCUUCUGCCUGGAAACAAGGAAGCUGGAAAAGAUCUUCCAUAAAAAAGAUGACGGCCAUGAGCAUCCUUACAUCAUGGCGUGGCCAAAUUUUCUUGUUAGUAACAAUGGGAGCCCUUCAUUUGAAGGUGCUUGUUGAAGUGUGCAACCAGGUAUCACAACAGAGGAAGAUGAAAACUAGAACUGGUAAAUCUUCUAUUUAUUGUAGUCUUAAUGUCUUAUCAGAACUAUUAAAUCGUUUUCUGCUUUAUUAUGUUAUGGAUGUGGAAGUAAUCUUCUUAAUGAAUCUAGAGUAUUUUCAUCUUACCAAGAUGCUGUUUAGAUUGUCAGUUCAUUCGCUUAUCUUUGAGCAUAUGUCGAUAGGCAAUAGCACACUUUACUCUCUGCAAACUGGUACUGUUUGCUUCAACAUAAAUAUCAGGAUAGCACCAAGAGCCAUAGCUGAUUCAUGCUUGUUAGACAAAAUAAAUGUGUGAAGUAUCGUUUGUCACUUUUAAGAAGAUUUCUCAUCCAGCCACAAGCAACUUCAUGGUUCUCAAGGUGCUAUGGCAACUCGUGGCGACCUACCCCUCACAACGCCUAGACGUUGACACCAUAGACAUAUCCUAAACAUACCAUAACAAACAAAAUUUAGUACCAUAUACAAACCUUUGUUGAGCUGUUGGACCAAACAUUCUUCCCUUUCCAAUUACUCCUGCCAUCCUUUCUCUUCUCCCAAGCAGCAAGCAAUGGAGGCAUGGAGCAGAGCAAGCACAAGCAGCAGAGGGAACUACGGAAGGGAAGCACGAGCAGCAGAGCAGAGGACAGCAGAGCAGAGGACGGAAGGGAAGGGAAGACCAGAGAUUGGAGAUUAAGUACCUGGCCAUUGCAGUCUAGCUGAGGACAGGAGGCCACGGACCAGCAGAAGAGGCGCCAGGCGCGGGGCUGCACGCGGUUGUGGACCAGCAGAGGCGGUGGCUUGUGGAGGCGCAAAGGAGGUGGGGCUGCACGGGUCAUCCUUGCGGACGAGUGGAGAUGCGCGGGGCAGCACAGAUCCUCGCGGAGAUCAUUUCCAAUUUGCGGAAGUAUUUUUAGUUCUCUUUUAGAGUUAACCCCAUACAGAAAUUAACAGGCUCAUUAAAAACUUAAAAUAAUUGAAUUCAGAUAUCUCAAACUAGUGGUGGUACAAGCUUUGAGCAAGAGUCUGCGGUGCAAGUGCAAGAGCAAUGAGCAAUAUAGUACUCAUUAAAGAACGGAAACACUGACUUGCACAACAACACUUUCGCAAAUCGGACGUCAUCUGCCAAACAGGCCAUCAUGCGUCCAUGCAGAACAGCAUGGCACAGAUCCUUGAACCUGGCUAUCUCAGGAGGAAACGGGUCCUUAGAAAUGGUCACCUUGCACAUGUCCACAUGACCUGGUACCAAGUUGCCAGCUAUGUCCGAUAUGUAGCUGAUGACGCCACCAAUCUGAUACAUCCCCCCAAUGUUGCUCCUCAGGACUUGGCACCAGAACUUCGGAUCCGGGUGAUCCCUAAGCACUCCUCCAAUCAUCUUUUGCACCAAAGAAUGACCCGUUCAGCUUCCUCGCUAUUUCUUUCCCUGCAGCCAUCAGCCUUGUGUUAUCCUCGAUGUCUCUACCAGCGAAUGCAUGUGCCUUGAAGAAAAACCAGUACUCAGGGCAGGGCAAUGCCGUUAGUAUGAUUGGCUCCACUGUUCCAAUGUCUGCAACAUGCUGACUGUUUGUUGUGAUAAUUACCUUGCUCCCUUCCUUGCUGCAUCUCAGGCUUUGCAGGAACUCUUCCAGUAUCUGCUUCCUGUGCAUUUCAAUGUCCUCAAAUACCAUCAAGCACCUUUUAUCAGAAAAGUCGUUCUCCUUGACGUACUUCAAUGGGUCAUUUAGACCCCCUUCGUUCUUUUUAACAUCAUAAGUACAUGAAAAGCUGUACAUCAAGAUCACCGGGAAGUGGUUGUGCACUCUGGCAUCAUCGCAGGCGUGUUGCACCAGGGUUGUCUUCCCAAUUCCAUUGCCACCAACAAUUGGUAGCACACCCAAUUCCCCUGUUGACUGAUCAUCCUCAUGCAACAGAAAGUUGAUUAUCAUCUCUUUCUCAACAUGUCGACCGAACAUCUGCCCAUCAUGGAAGAUGUUAGUGCCUAGAGGCCGGCGGAUUGGCUGGUAGUUUUGCAGGAGCAUGAUGAACUCCAUGAGAUCACAAGACAUGGCUUCCAAUCUCUUGAGCACCCUGUUAAUCUCAUCAACACUGAAAUCAAGGUGCCAGUAGUAUGAGCUCCUCAUGGUGCACCCAGCAACCCUGACACGCUUUGCAGGGUUAAACAAGGACAAGGUGGAAACUUGGGGAUCUACCUUAUGAUCACAUCGCUCAGCCUCCUGGUUGCCACACCUGAUGGAAUCAAGCAAGUAAAGUCCCAGCUUGUCUUCAGUGCUUUCUUGGUUGCUAAAGCGCCCAACGAGAAGAGAAAUCGCUCUACUGACAACAUCGCCUAUGAUGGCAGAGAUGAUGGCAUCUACCAUUGUAGCAGGUUUCUAUGGCUGGAGAAGAGUUCUAGGAGUCUUUCAGCAGGAAAUACUUGUACUUAUGACGUUUGGGCUUGGUGGUCAGUUUCUUCCCAAUUUUUGCUGAAGUCAACGUUGCGACUGAGUCUUUAUUUGCACGAAAGUGACUUGGGAGACCAGAGGUCUCCUGAAAAUGGUCAUUGGUCAUGAUAUGUAAAAGGCAAAGAUACCACUCAGAUCAGAAUAACAAAAAAAGGUGUGCUUA